GGGACGGGAUGGGGGGGGUUGACGGGGACACUUUUACCUCAGCGCGCGAGGAUUGGGCGCCCGGGGCUGCGGGUCCCCGGCCAGGAAACCUCCCUCUGACCUUAGAGGCUGCUCGUAUUCACCCGGGGCUUAGGGAGGGGGAAACUGAGGCUUAGCGCAGAUGAGUGUUGCCCAGAAGCGGGAGCGGUGGGAUCCCGGGCCAGAGCUGGAGAGAAGCAGGACCCCUUAAUUGAAAGUCCUUGCUUGGGGCGGGGAACUGGCUAUUCACUUAUUGGCUAGUUCAUUUACUUAUUUUCAUUCACUCACACAUUUAUGGAACACCAACCCUGUGCCUGGUACACAGGUCCCCUCGGGAACCGCUGACAAACAAGAUCCCGGCCACCCUCACGGGGCUCUCCUUCUGCUGAGGGCUGAGAUGCCGGGAGUUUGCCUCUCCUUGGCUUCUUAUAAACAUGGUUAUUUAACGUAAUAACCUUGAUUAGCCACACCAAGGGCCACGCCCUGUGCUAACCACUCAACACGUUUCUCGAGAUUACUCGGGAACGAGAAAUAUCCCAUUUAACAGAUGAGGAACAUGAGGUCCGCAGGGUAGAAGUACCACAGCUAGCUGGUGACUGACGGAGGCAGGAUUUGAGGCAAGGCCAGGGAACGCCGAGGGGCCAAUAAGUGCAGGGAUUUCCACUUGUUCACCCAAGAAGGGAAUCCAGUGAGAAGACAAUAAGUACAGUGAGAGUUCACCCAAGAAGGGAAUCUAGUGAGAGGACACCGGCUGGCCCUGUGGCAAGCUAGAGCAUGCAAGAAGGUCAUUGUACCCUCUGCUCUCGAACAGAUGGCCUCUGGGUGGUGUCCAGGUGUCUGCUAAAAUGAACAUUCUG